rnacentral:lncRNA from 1 species
ACAACCAUCUGUAAUGAGAUCUGAUGCCCUCUUCUGGGGUGUCUGAAGACAGCUACAGUGUACUUACAUAAAUAAAUAAAUCUUUAAAGAAAAAAAGAUUUAUAAUUACCAAGUAUCAAUUGAUAAGAUGUUUUAAGAUAGGUCUCAGUCUUAGUCCAGGCUAGCUUAGAGCUCAAAACAGAUCUGAGCCUCCUGGGAUUGCAAGCAUAUGCCCCAAUUGUUUCUGGAGACGUGAAACAUUUAAAAGUUUAUCUUGAUUUCUUUCUCUUAACCAUUUUGAUCUCCCUCCCCCCUUUAUUUAUAAAGAUUAAAGCAUAUAUUUCUAUUAUAUGCUUGGUAACACUAAGUACUGAUAAAUGCAGUGGGCCUAUACAAAACUGGGAAGUGGAUACACAGAUACUGAAACCGUACUGUGCUUGCUAUUAAGGAGUGUGCUGUCACUGCGGAGGAGUGUGACAUCUACUGGUUGUUAGUCAUUGAAGGAAAUACAUGAUAGGGAUUCCUCUGAGACAUUCACAUUGCAAAAGUAUUUGGGGGGCAACCGUGCUAAAAAAUCAAAUUCCUAAUUGCAUUUGAUUUUUAUAUUAUUGUCUGUGUGAUUACUUUUUUUAAAAAUUUAUUCAUUAUAUGUAAGUACACUGUAGCUGUCCUUAGAUACUCCAGAAGAGGGCAUCAGAUUUCACUUUGGAUCAUUGUGAGCCACCAUGUGGUUGCUGGGAUUUGAACUAUGGACCUUCGGAAGAGCAGUCGGCGCUCUUAACCACUGAGCCAUCUCGCCAGCCCUAUGUGAUUACUUUUAUUUAACAUUGUGAUUUCAUAAGCAGAGGGAGAGAAGGAGUUUGCAUUUUAAAUAAGAAAAUUGUUACAUGAAACACAAGGAUAAUUAUGAAGAAAAGAAAUUUGAGUAGAAUUAGUCAUUGGAGUGAAUUAAGGACUGGUAAGCCAAUGAAGUUGUUUGGGAUUAGUUCGAGUUAAGCAACUGGAAAAAGGUUAUUAACAGAAAAACAGUAGAAAUGAGCAUGGAAUUGCACACCUUUGUCCCAGAAUUUAGGAAUCAGAGGCAGAGUUCUACUUAGCGAGACCCUGUCUCAGGGGGAAAAAAAAAAACCAUAACACAAAAUUAGUUUGUUAGCCCAAAUGAUAGCCAGUAUAUAUCAUAGCCUUGGAAAUUCUGAAGAUCAUUGAGACAAGGAGUGGAGAAAAAUACUGGGGCUAGGUGUCAAUACUGUGACAUAUAUGUUUUCUUUUUUCUUUUAAUUACUCAUUUUAUGUAGAUGAGUACAUGGUAAACUGUCUUCAGACACAUUAGAAGAGGGCAUUAGAUCCCAUUAUAGAGGGUUGUGAGCCACCAUGUGGUUGCUAGGAAUUGAACUCAGGACCUCUGGAAGAGCAGUCAGUGCUCUUAACUGCUGAGGCAUCUCUCUAGCCCCAGCAUAUGUGUUCUUACCCCAAACAAAUAAACAUGUAAUUUUUAAAAAUUGCUUUUUAUAAAAAGCUUUUAUAGGCGUAUGUGUCAUUAACUUCUUUGGUCAAAUAUGACGCUUUGUAACCAACAUAGUAGACGUGUCCUUGAGCAGAGGUGUAUGUACCCUUUGUAUAGACCCGGGAGCCCCAGAGGAAACCUAUAAAAGUUAAAGUCCUUGUUCAUAUAAUAGCGUUCUCUAAGUGCUUACUGCUUAAGCAUGAGUUCUAUGCCCCAAACCUACUGAAAAUGAUGAGUGUGGUGGUAUGCUCUUCCAGUCCCAGCAUUAGGGAGAUGGAGAAAGGCGAGCUUGCUGCCUACCCUUUUCUAAUCGGUACGUGUCCCCAUCUCCAUCUCUGUCCUAGAAAGAGACCUUGUCUGGAAAAGCAAGGUAGACAGCACGUUGGAUGACAACUCAUGUUGACUUCUGUCCUCCAUGAACACACACAUGCACACACACACAAAUACACAGUAGGUACACAUACAUCAGCAUUCCAAAAGCUGAUAGAUCAGUGAUUAAGAGUACUUAAUGCUCAAUCAUGAUAGGAAAAUAAUCUAGUUUAUUCAUUCGACAGGAGAGAAAGAUAAAUUUGUUCAGUGUCUUUGUACUUGUGACAGUGGUGUUCACUCAGUACUGUUUACUGCCUCUAAACACUGUAGUCAAUUCUCAUGUAAUGCUUAAUUCACUAUCACAUGAUCAGCAUUUGUUGACUGUAAGGUAAGAUGAUAGCUAAGUCUGGUUUGGACUAAAUAAAGUGUCUAAAGCACAUAGUUUUUGGGCUGGAGAGAUGGCUGAGACGUUAAGAGCUCUGACUGCUCUUCCAAAGGUCCUGAGUUAAAUUUCCAGCAUUCAAUCACAUGGUGGCUCACAACCAUCUGUAAUGGAAUCUGAUGCUCUCUUCUGAUGUGUCUGAGGACAGCUACAGUGUACUUAUAUGCAUAACAUAAAUCUUUUAAAAAGGUAGUUGUAUAUUUAAUUUCUUCAUAAAUAUCUUCUGGUUUGUUUGUUUUAGUUUUUUGAGAGUUUCUCUGGCUGUCCUGAAACAUACCAUAGACCAGGCUGACCUCAAAAAGAUCUGCCUGGCUCUGCCUCCCAAGUACUGCGUCUGGGUAUACAGGCAUGAGCCACCACUUUCUUGUAAACAUCUUUUUUUUCUCUUUCUUCUUUCUUCUUUCUUCUUUCUUCUUUCUUCUUCCUUCUUCCUUCUUCCUUCUUUCUUCUUCUUUCUUCUUCCUUCUUCUUUCUUCUUUCUUCUUCUUCUUCUGAUUUAUUAUAUGUUAGUACACUGUAGCUGUCUUCAGACACCCCAGAAGAAGGCGUCAGAUCUUGUUACGGAUGGCUGUGAGCCCUGUGGUUGCUGUGAUUUGAACUCAGGACCUUUGGAAGUGUAGUCAGUGCUCUUAACUGCUGAGCCAUCUCACCAGCCUGAGCCACCACUUUCUGUGUCCUCUAAAUUCAGUAUAGUAAGCUUUUGCUUUACCUAUAAAGUGGUUUGGCUAAAUAUGUAUAAACAUAAUGUCUAUAAAACUAACAUCAAAAUAAAAAGUUGUAUUCAAAUAAUGUGGAGUCAGGAUUUGUGGCACAGUCUUGCCUAUAAGGUGGGAGCAGGAACUUUUGGUCAUCUCACUUUCAUUUAAGUGUACGUCAUGCCUGGGCCGUGUGUCUCAAAAUCACAUCAG